AUAAUGCCACUAUAAACGUUUGUAUACAGGGUUUUUUUUGUGUGUGUGUAAGUCAGUCUUUAUUUCUCUAGAGUAAAUACCUAGACAUCGGUGGCUCACUACAUCAAGUGGUAAGUAGAUGUUUAAUUUUUUUUACUGCAAUCCCCCAGAUUAUUGUUUCCAUUCAAUCUUGGGAGAGGGAACAAGGGUGGUUAAAAAGCUUCCCAGUGGCUGCAGGGAGAGGCUCAGGUAGAAGUGCUAACACCAGGGGGAUGCAGAGGGCCCCUCAAAGGCUGGAGGUCUCUAGUCAUGCUUGAAAGUGAGCCUUUUGAAGAGACUAACCUGGGGCCAGCCAGCCUGUGGAGCUAGUCAGGUGGUUGCCCAUCUUCCUGAUGAAUUUCACCUGCUCUUCUGGGAAGUGGCUCUCCAGGGAGAUGCAGAGAUGUGGGUCUGUGUGGGCAGUACCCAUGGCACACAGAUCCCAAAGGGUCUGGGUCAGGUUCAUCUCCAGGUCCAUGGCAGCUUCCGUGGCACCCAGGGUUUUACCCUAUUCAUCUUGGGACUGCUUCCACACGUCCUGGCAGAGGAUGUGGCCACCACCCCAGUUUUGCAUCUUCUCAUGGAAGAAGUGGCCCUUGCCGUACAGAGCUGCAUCGUAGCUGUCAAAAUAGAAGCUCCAAGAGAGAGUUUUCUGCCAGCUGCAUGCAGGUCACGUUUCCUGUAUCACGCUUUGGCAGGCAGCGAUGCUCUGGUCUGCUCCAACUGCGGUUGUGCAGAGAUUGGUGACAUUGACUUUUGGGGCCAGGCCAAAUGGAUUUCUGGUUCUUGGACUGUGCUAAUCAAUAUAACUUUCUUCCAAAGCCACUUCUCUUCAUCCUUCACUGACAAUUUGGAUGCAUACUGA
rnacentral:lncRNA from 1 species